rnacentral:rRNA from 1 species
UACGUAGGGUGCAAGCGUUGUCCGGAAUUAUUGGGCGUAAAGAGCUCGUAGGCGGUUUGUCGCGUCUGCUGUGAAAACCCGAGGCUCAACCUCGGGCCUGCAGUGGGUACGGGCAGACUAGAGUGCAGUAGGGGAGAUUGGAAUUCCUGGUGUAGCGGUGGAAUGCGCAGAUAUCAGGAGGAACACCAAUGGCGAAGGCAGAUCUCUGGGCCGUAACUGACGCUGAGGAGCGAAAGCAUGGGGAGCGAACAGG